UGAGUUAGAAAAGUCUUCUAUAAAAGGAGAACACAAGUUUAAGAAACAUUCUUAAAAUAUCCUUAGUUCCACUAAUUAAGAAAGUCUACCAGUUCCAAGCUCUGAUAAGGAUUUAACUAUGGCUACUAAUGGACCAAGUUGGGCAGAUCAAUGGGGUGCAGGAGGGAUAGGUGCCAUGGAUGAAGAUGACAGUUAUUAUAAGAGCAACAAAGAAAAUGGAAAUAACAAGAAAACCAGUGCAGGAAUUGGCAAAGUGAAAGCAGUAGCAAUUGCAGGUGCACAGAAAGUGAAAAAUGGCCCUUCUAUGGUCAUCAAAUGGGUUAGGAGCAAAUCACAAAAGAAAAACAACUCCAUUUCAUGAAUAGAGAUAGAGAUUAUCUCAUCUUUGUCUGGCCUUGUGUAAGAACAUUCAAGAUUUCAGAUCAAAUGUGUCAAAAUAGGGGCCUUAAAUAAACUUAUGGAUUGUUAUGCUUCAUUCA